UGGGGAAUUUUGGACAAUGGGCGAAAGCCUGAUCCAGCAAUGCCGCGUGUGUGAAGAAGGCCUUCGGGUUGUAAAGCACUUUUGUCCGGAAAGAAAUCCUUGGCUCUAAUACAGUCGGGGGAUGACGGUACCCGAAGAAUAAGCACCGGCUAACUACGUGCCAGCAGCCGCGGUAAUACGUAGGGUGCAAGCGUUAAUCGGAAUUACUGGGCGUAAAGCGUGCGCAGGCGGUUUGCUAAGACCGAUGUGAAAUCCCCGGGCUCAACCUGGGAACUGCAUUGGUGACUGGCAGGCUAGAGUAUGGCAGAGGGGGGUAGAAUUCCACGUGUAGCAGUGAAAUGCGUAGAGAUGUGGAGGAAUGCCGAUGGCGAAGGCAGCCCCCUGGGCCAAUACUGACGCUCAUGCACGAAAGCGUGGGGAGCAAACAGGAUUAGAUACCCUGGUAGUCCACGCCCUAAACGAUGUCAACUAGUUGUUGGGGAUUCAUUUCCUUAGUAACGUAGCUAACGCGUGAAGUUGACCGCCUGGGGAGUACGGUCGC
rnacentral:rRNA from 1 species